rnacentral:ncRNA from 1 species
UUGAGCCGUGUGAGGUGAAAGUCUCAUGCACGGUUCUUAGGGGUGCGCUCUUUAACGAUAUAAGGUAUUGAUUCUAU